rnacentral:tRNA from 1 species
UCCGUUGUGGUCUAGUGGUUAGGAUUUACGGCUCUCACCCGUAAGGAUCGGGUUCGAUUCCCGGCAACGGAA